CUUGAAGUGCAUCUCAGGCAUCUUAAACUUGGGCCCUUUCAACUUUGCAUCAGGACACUCCAGCUCAACAUCAGGCAUCUUAAACUUGGGCCCUUUCAACUUUGCAUCAGGACACUCCAGCUCAACAUCAGGCACCUCCACACCCACACUGGGACCUGUUAAAUCUCCCUCCAAUUUUGGCACCGACACAUCCACAUCCCCUUUGACUUUGGGGCCUUUCAAGUGUAAGUCCACAUCAGGCAUGGAGAUCUUGGGGGCCUUGAAGUGCAUCUCAGGCAUCUUAAACUUGGGGCCCUUCAGCUUUCCUUCCGGGCCCUCAAGGCUCACAUCUGGGACUUCAACAUCCACCUUGGGUCCUGAGACAUCAAUGUCAGCCUUGGGCAGGUUCACAUCCACUUCUCGGCCCUCUCCUUUGAAGCCAGGCAUGCUAAACUUGGGCAUUUUCAUCUUGGGCAUCUUCAGGUGCCAGUCUGGGCCUUGAACCUCCACAUCUGGGACAUCAAUGUCCAUUUUGGCACUUUUAAGUUCAACAUCAGGAACUUUAAUCUCACUUUCAACCU
rnacentral:lncRNA from 1 species